UGUACUUCGUACGCAUUUUUACUUGCUCCGUACUUCCUCGCCGGUGCGUACGAUGGUGCGUUAGCAGCAGGCAAUCUUCUCUCGAUUGCUUGCUGUUCCUCAUCAUCAAAGCAGCACCGGGAACUCCGGGAAGGAGAAAUAUCGGGGAAUAUCGAGGAACAUCGAAAGGAGCAUCAGGAUACGUUGAAAGGAGCAUUGUCGGGAUAACAGUCGGACAAUGAUCCUGUUCGCUCGCAAUAUUCCUGAGUAAUCGUGUGGCUCGUUCGCCAUGAAGGCUGCCGCGAUUGGAGUUUUCCCGCCGAUUCGAGAUAAGCGCGAAUACCGGGAGUGCCGAAUCAGUAUAUAUCUACGGGCGAUCGUGUGUGUGUUGUUUCGGUGUACAUUAAUCCGUGCAGUUGUAUCGUAACGUGUAAUCGAGAACGUUCGGUUGAAAUCUCGCCGUUUUCGUCGAAACGAUACGGUAGUAUUGUAUUCCUAAACCUACAUAGUGCUUUUCUCGUGUAUUAUAUUUCGCGAAUCGCGAGUGUGUGUGACUAAUGUAUCCAGGAAUAUAUCAAGGAUUAAAAGGAGCCUCGAAGGAGAUUUAUCGGCUACGUCGUUAAAGAGUAGCAUUGCGAGUGCCGUGUAAAGUUUCG